rnacentral:rRNA from 3 species
GAACCACCUGAUCCCUUCCCGAACUCAGAAGUGAAACGACGCAUCGCCGAUGGUAGUGUGGGGUCUCCCCAUGUGAGAGUAGGUCAUCGUCAAGC